ACACGGAGGGCGCAAGCGUUGCUCGGAAUCACAGGGCGUAAAGCGGGUGUAGGCGGUCUAGCAAGUCAGAUGUGAAAGCCCACGGCUCAACCGUGGGAGUGCAUCUGAAACUGCUAGACUUGAGUGCCGGAGAGGGAAGUGGAAUUCCUGGUGUAGGGGUGAAAUCCGUAGAUAUCAGGAGGAACACCGGUGGCGAAGGCGACUUCCUGGACGGCCACUGACGCUGAGACCCGAAAGCGUGGGGAGCAAACAGGAUUAGAAACCCUUGUAGUCC
rnacentral:rRNA from 1 species